AUUGAACGCUGGCGGCAUGCUUUACACAUGCAAGUCGAACGGCAGCGCGGGCUUCGGCCUGGCGGCGAGUGGUGAACGGGUGAGUAAUACAUCGGAACGUGCCCAGCAGUGGGGGAUAGCUCGGCGAAAGCCGGAUUAAUACCGCAUACGACCUGAGGGUGAAAGCGGGGGAUCUUCGGACCUCGCGCUAUUGGAGCGGCCGAUGGCAGAUUAGCUAGUUGGUGGGGUAAAGGCCUACCAAGGCGACGAUCUGUAGCUGGUCUGAGAGGACGACCAGCCACACUGGGACUGAGACACGGCCCAGACUCCUACGGGAGGCAGCAGUGGGGAAUUUUGGACAAUGGGCGAAAGCCUGAUCCAGCAAUGCCGCGUGUGUGAUGAAGGCCUUCGGGUUGUAAAGCACUUUUGGCGGGAACGAAAAGGACUGUGCCAAUACCACGGUUCGAUGACGGUACCCGCAGAAUAAGCACCGGCUAACUACGUG
rnacentral:rRNA from 1 species